rnacentral:piRNA from 1 species
UUCUAUGUUCAGGACCAUCUGUGAUGAGUGU